rnacentral:rRNA from 1 species
AGUAAAUAGAUACCCGGGUAGUCCACGCCGUAAACGAUGAGUACUAGGUGUAGGAGGUAUCGACUCCUUCUGUGCCGCAGUUAAACACAAUAAGUACUCCGCCUGGGAAGUACGGUCGCAAGAUUAAAACUCAAAGGAAUUGACGGGGGCCCGCACAAGCAGCGGAGCAUGUGGUUUAAAUUCGAAGCAACGCGAAGAACCUUACCUAGACUUGACAUCUCCUGAAUAGUGUAGAGAUACAUGAAGCCCUUCGGGGCAGGAAGACAGGUGGUGCAUGGUUGUCGUCAGCUCGUGUCGUGAGAUGUUGGGUUAAGUCCCGCAACGAGCGCAACCCUUAUUACUAGUUGCUACCAUUAAGUUGAGCACUCUAGUGAGACUGCCCGGGUUAACCGGGAGGAAGGCGGGGAUGACGUCAAAUCAUCAUGCCCCUUAUGUCUAGGGCAACACACGUGCUACAACGGUGAGUACAGAUAGAUGCGAUGCCGCAAGGUGGAGCCAAACUCUAAAACUCAUCCCAGUUCGGAUUGUAGG